AUCGAUGUGAAGGAGUUCAUUGCCACAUGUCGACUCACUUACACGGAUCCUGAGAACCCGAAACCAAGUCAAGGAAAACUCACAUUCAUUCUUAACAGGAAGCACUACAGCAAGACACUGUUUGAGAUAUGCGACAUGUAUGGAUUUACAAAAGGAGAAGCGGUUGAGUUCCCUAAAUUGUCUUCUGAGGUUGCUGAUGACUUUUGGAACACGAUAGCUACAAGACCAUAUCAGUCGCGCAAAGCGAAGAUAUCCAUAUUAGGAGUCCGGUUGUGCGUUAUGUUGCGAAAGUCCUCGGUAGCGUUUUGCACUUCAAGCCAGUGAUUGCAGCUGUGACAGAGACCGAGUUACCACUACUUUUCUACGGAGUCAAACAUCUACUACCCGCGUACUCAGAUCUUCCAGCUCCCGACACUAAUGUAGCUGCAGUUUUGUGUGACACCUUGGUGAAGAUGAAGAAUACUGUUCUACAUCAGCCGGGCAGAGCAUCUUCGCUGGUACCGCCCUUACCCCAUUGUUCAGGGGUUGCAAUUUCGACCUCUCUAAGACCGAAACAAUUUGUCCCCCAACGGUAGCGGAAAUGGAUUUGCAGUACCUGAUUCGCACUAAUUUCACCAAGCCAGAUAGUCAAUUAUACCAAUUUUUGGGUAGAGACGGGGUUACUUAUUAUUGCAGGAUACCCAACCAGCACAUUACCUCAUUUCUCUCCGCGACGAAUCUAGCGUUCGAACCGGACGCGCAGUACCUUGUUCGUAACCCUUCCGGAGCUGUCACUAGACGACGCCAGACUGCAGCGGCCCAGCCUACAGCUGACCAUGUUGUCGGUAAUGAUGACGAUCAUGAGGAUUAUGCUGAUCAGGCACCUUCCACGCACGCCCAGCCAUACUUGCUGCUACCUGAGGAUCCAGCACCAUACCUUGUUUCAUCACCACCAGCGGGUGACGAUAUCUCCCAGCAGAUGGCAUGGAUGAUCGAAUCGACAAGGAAGAACAACAGUAUGAUGCACAGGAUGUGUAGAGCCAUUUUAAAGAUCAGGCCUUGUGUUUGCACUCGCGGAGGAGGAGUGGAUGAUGGAGACCGUGAACACCGGUCCAAGGCUACUGAGGAUCGACAUGCUGAGAGGUUGGUCCCUGCUGCUGGAGCGUCCACCUCGCAGACACCACCAGAGCAGUCCCUAGGCCAUCGGUUAGGCAGGAGCAGGAGGCAGCCAGGAGAGCAGAGCUCUAGCGAGAGCCCCACCCACCACCGUUGAGUAGCGCUGUAACUCACACUUUUCCCCUUUUUAUUCAUCUUUAUUUUGAUUUUUAUCGUAUCUAUGUGGCACCUUUCCUUUGAACUGUUUUCACACCGAGUCGGUGUGAAGCAAGUCGGGGGGAGGUUGUCAUUUGUCUACUAAUCUAUUCUUUUGUAUUGUUUUGCUUUUUCUUGAGUCAGUUUGUUUUAUCGAGUCAAAAUCGUGUCUUUUAUUGAGUCAAAAUGUUGUUUUGAGAACUGUGAUCUUUUCGAAGAGAAUUGCACCAUGCUUGAUUUGAUUGCCUUGGGACCAUUUUAGCACUAUUUGAUAACUUGGAAGGUCAGGAAAAUCCAUCAUUAGAUCGCUUAAUAAUAAUCCCUAUCUCCUUGAAAUUUGGAUGAAUUGAGCUUUCUCUUAUCUAUUUGAACUUAAUCUGGACUUAGUUUAUCUCACUUAGGGGCUUGAGAAUCAUGUAAUGGAUCAUACAUUCAGAGUUUUCUUUGCAUCAUUUUAGCACUCUUUGCUAACUCUGAAUGGCUAGACUCAUUUUUAGUCUAGUACCACACCUGUUCCCCCACCCAUUGUUUGAAAC
rnacentral:sRNA from 1 species